rnacentral:miRNA from 1 species
CCCGGCCCAGGUCCCGGCCCUGGCCCUGGCCCCGGCCCGGGUCCUGGCCCUGGUCCCGGUCCCGGC